AUGUCUGUGAAGAUGCGGACUACCUGCACCUGGACAGAAAGACCCUAUGAAGCUUCACUGUUCCCUGGGAUUGGCUUUGGGCUUUUCCUGCGCAGCUUAGGUGGAAGGCAAAGAAGGCCCCCUUCCGGGGGGGCUCGAGCCAUCAGGGCAGAGAACCCUCCCACCCCGGAGGGUGGGUUCUGCCCCUACGGGGACGGAGCAAAAGCCCUACGGGGACGGAGCAAAAGCCCUACGGGGACGGAGCAAAAGCCCUACGGGGACGGAGCAAAAGAAGUUUAUAGAAUAGAGGGUCACGGCGAGACGAGCCGUUUUUCAUUAACCAUAGGUGUCAAGGGGAAGUGCAGUAAUGUAUGCAGCUGA